GCUUGGUUUAUCAAGGGCUAUGCAGGAACCUAGCAUGCUACCACCAAAUAAGACUUGGGACUCAGCUGGUGCAACAUCUGCAAAUUUUGCAGGGGAAUGUAGUGAUUUCCCUGCAUCAAUAACUGGAUUUCAAUGCGGCCCGUCUUCUUUCGGUAACGAAGGGGCUGUGUCACCGUGGAGCCAGAGUAUGUGCACUGGAAGCACAUUUACAGCAGGGGAUCCACAAGGCCAGUUGCAUGAAAAACUAGAGCGUGAAAAUGGAGAGGAUUCUGAGGGAGGAAAAGAGAUCAGGAAUGGCCCCAGCAUAUUCAAUACAGACUGUGUAUUAUGGGAUUUACCAUCUGAUGAUUUAAUGAAUCCUAUAGUUUAA
rnacentral:misc_RNA from 1 species